rnacentral:tRNA from 1 species
GGGCGCGUAGCUCAGCGGGAGAGCAUCCGCCUUACAAGCGGAGGGUCACAGGUUCGAUCCCUGUCGCGCCCACCA